CCUACGGGCGGCAGCAGUGAGGAAUAUUGGUCAAUGGACGCAAGUCUGAACCAGCCAUGCCGCGUGCAGGAAGACGGCUCUAUGAGUUGUAAACUGCUUUUGUGCGAGGGUAGACGCAGAUACGCGUAUCUGUCUGAAAGUAUCGUACGAAUAAGGAUCGGCUAACUCCGUGCCAGCAGCCGCGGUAAUACGGAGGAUUCAAGCGUUAUCCGGAUUUAUUGGGUUUAAAGGGUGCGUAGGCGGUCGGGUAAGUUAGAGGUGAAAUCCCCAGGCUCAACUUCGGAAUUGCCUCUGAUACUGUCCGGCUAGAGAGUAGUUGCGGUAGGCGGAAUGUAUGGUGUAGCGGUGAAAUGCUUAGAGAUCAUACAGAACACCGAUUGCGAAGGCAGCUUACCAAGCUACUUCUGACGUUGAGGCACGAAAGCGUGGGGAGCAAACAGGAUUAGAUACCCGUGUAGUC
rnacentral:rRNA from 1 species